rnacentral:lncRNA from 1 species
GGGUUGGCUGCUUCAGACACACCAUGUAGUCUAACCUGCUGUGGCUUGGCAUGAGUCCUCCCUCUGCUUUUCUUGUGCAGGGCUGAUGGCUGUUUAGCUACUUAGCUACCGGUGUACCCUUUUUUGAGGUACCAGGAUCUUUCUUGGGCUAUGUUUGCUUUCAUUCUGGGCCAUAGGCUUGUGGUGCUUCUGUCCAACAAGGACAACUGGGUAAGUUGUAGGCUAGCCCAGAAUUAGGAGUUUUGAGCUGAAUAUGGAAGUGAUUGUGGGGGUAUUUGGAAGUUUUUCCCAUACAAAUUUAUCGAUGAGGCACCUACUCGGUGGACUUGUAUACUCAGGGCCAUUUACUUGUGUUUUAGGAGCUGACGGAACGGUGAGCUUGUUGAGGUGCAUUUGCUUCUAGUUGAAGGAUGAGCAGUGCUCCGACGCCGAGCUGCUGUUACGAGUCCUGGGCCUGGGAUGGGCAAGCCUUCCUCUGGCACCUCCGCACCCUCCUCCCGGAAUCAAUGCUCAUUUACUGGUUUUCCUUCUGGAGAGUCCCCAGUGGUCCAGCACCCCCAUGGCCACCUCAGUCAGGCAGAGGGAGCAAUCCAGACAUAGCAGCUAAAGUGAGCAUCUGGGGACCUUUGCUUCUUAGUUCCCUGUGGCUGACAUAGCUCAUGCAACCUUUUUAUACCAGAGCCAUGGGAGACAUCUCAAGUGCAGUUGUUUUAAAUGCUUUUUGAUGGAGAGUGCCAGGCAGUACUUGAAGCAAUUAUCAAAAUAGCAAGAGCCAGGUUCUAGGUGUUUUUAUGUCCACAGCUGGAAGGAAGGAGAGGUGUGGGCCAAUGUUUCAGAUGCUGAUGUAUUGGGGUACUGUCUAGCUUCACUUAGAAGGGUUUGUUCCGAUGCUGCUCACAUUUGAUCCACGCGGAUUUACUUCUGGGGCUGGAUUCUUCCAGAGUCACCCUAAAGAGAAUUAUCAAAAGGGCCUGACAGACAUGAGUGCCUGCUCUUCUUGGAGACUCGGGUUUCUUACAAACAGCUAGGGUCCCAGACCUCUAGAACCAAGGGAAUUAUGGACUCAUUCCCUAGAAAGCCCCCGCCUGGCUUCUGAUUCACUACUACCCAUGUCAGGGCUACUGUGAAGAGUCUCACCAACUGACUGACUUUUCUUGUUUUUGCAGUCCUUUAAAUCCACAAAUGUAUAUGCUUUAUUUUAUAUUAUUUAUUAUGUACAUAUGUCUCUACUGUUAGUAUAUCAUGUGACUAAGACACUGUUUGGAAGCCCCUCAUCCACUGAGCCUAGGGUUCUGUUGUCCCUUAUUGGGUGAGAGGGUGGUGGUAUUUUCUGUUUAAAAGGAAAAAAAAAACCAUAUUGCUGCUCUUACCCCAGCUUCUUUCAUUGCCUUACCCCAGUCCAUUCCUGCUGGCCAGUAUCUGGGAGGUAGAUGGGGCAGAACUUCUCACGUCUCCAUGAGUUACUGCAGACGAGGUGUUUUGGUAACUGGGUCUCUUCGCUAUGGCUGAGACCAGAGCCUCCUUCCUCAUCCACACCCAAGCUAGAUCAAUGGCUUCUACCGCUCACUUGCAUUGCAGGAUCUAUCUGUAGUGGAAGCUGCCCAUCUAGGCUCUGACCAUGCCUCUUCCUGGUAUUAAGGCCCAGUUACCAGCAUUGCCUUGGGCCAAACGUAAGCCCUGCUUUGUCUGAUUUCCACCCUCCUCAGUCGUACCCACGGUAUCAUGGCGUACAUUUCAUGCAUUUGAGCAGUGGCAUCAAGAGAAAGCUAAACACAGGUCAUAUGCACAAGCUGUCAUAACAGACGCGUUUAUAAUCCAAAUGUUGUAGAUUUACAAUACCUAUUUAUUUGUACCAAUUUAUUUGUAAAUCUUGUGAUUGUUUUUAAAAGGUUUUGUUUAUUUCUAUUCUUCUAUUUAGAUAAAUGAUUUUCUGUUCACCCUUUUA